CGCUGAAAAAGACGUGGAGGAGGUUGGAACCUACACGUCGAAGAAGAAAAAAGAAGAGGCAUGCAGGGCUCUUCGUCCUUCCGUCUAUUAAAGAAAAAAAAUGAUAAAUCAGAAAAAAGAGAGAAGGGGAUCACGAAAGAGAGAAAACAACUCAGGAGAGAGAGAGAGAGAGAGAGAAAAAAAAAAGAGAGAUAAGGCUAGUCUGGUGCAUGCGAUAAUGAGAUCUGUGUGGCCGAUGAUCACGU
rnacentral:lncRNA from 1 species